GAAUGAAGAUAGGCGCAGGGAAUACAAAAUUCUCUGAAAGUCUGCUGCCUAUGAGGAAGGCUUUCAACAAUACAUUCAUUGUUGCUGGUGGUUAUGACAGGGAAGAUGGAAACAAAGCUCUUGAAGAGAACCGUGGAGACCUUGUCGCUUAUGGUCGCUUGUUCUUGGCAAAUCCAGAUUUGCCGAGGAGAUUUGAACUUGAUGCUCCUCUCAACAACUACAACAGAGAAACAUUUUACACACAUGAUCCUGUUGUUGGUUACACUGAUUAUCCUUUCCUUGAAGCCUCUGCGUAGGGUUUUCAGUCACCGUAGUCGAAACUUGUAUUCUCUAAUUCAUUCAAUUAUUGUUUCUAUGAGUUUAAAUGUUAUAAUUCAAUAAUAAAAGUAGAUUGGAGACCAGCAAUACACAUUUCAGAUUGAACUGGAUACUAUGAAGUAAUACAGUUUUCAAUUACAAUAGAUAUUUGUAAGAAAGAUAAAAAUUUAAGUUAUAAAGAAAAAAAUAGUAUUUUUUAUCCGAAUUUUCCUUUUUGAUUCAUGUAUUUUUUUUAUUUUGACAAAAAUAAAUAUUUUUUUGUUAGUAAUAUGUUUUUAUAAAUAAAAAUUAAAGGCAAUUAAAAUAAAAAUGUAUAAAAAAUCUUAAUAAUUUAAAUUAUGAAAACAAUGUAUAUUUUUCAAUCAAAACGCUUUCUAUAUUCAUGUAUUUUGUUUUUGAUAAAAAUGUGAUUUUUAUUAGAGGUAUAGUUUUUUUUUAAAAAAACAAAUUAUCAUAUUUCAUAAAAAAACAAAAAACAAUCAUGACUCAAUAAUUUUUAUACUUGUAUAAAACAAAUAGAGUAAUUAAUGUGAUGAAAUUAUAUAAAAUAUUUAAAAUAAAAAAUAAAUAUUUUAUUUCCUUUUAAAUAUUCAUUAGUAUAUUAAAAACAAUUUGUGUAUUGGGUUCAUAUAGUAAUUUAUAUUCCCAUAAAAGAUCUAAUAGUUAGAUAAUGUUUUAAGUACAAUUUUAAUAAUUGUUUUUAUAUUGAACUUUAUGCUAAAUUAAAAUAAAUAAUUACAAAGAAAGUUAAAUAGCUUUUUAAAUAGAGGCUAGGGUCUUGGGCUUAAAAGGACAAAUCCACAAGACUAGCUUAAAAAAACAAUUAUAGGUGGAUUUAAAUUUUUUUAUUUGUUUUUUUUAUAGAAAAAAAAUGUUUUUGAGAGCUAUUUUAAAUAAAAUUUGGGUAAAUAAUGUAUCAUCAACUAUGUAAUUUAUGUUACCUCCAAUGAUAAAAAGAAAAAAAAGAAAAAAAAGAAGAAGAAGUAAGGUUUAAGUUUUUAGAUUUUAGAAAUCAAUUUUAAAUUUAUUUUAACCUAAAAUCACCCCAAAAACAUUAAAAGAUUCUUAGGAAACCAUCUUUGACCAUAAAAUACCCUUUGACCAAUUUAGAAUAAAAAAUAAAUGCAAAUAAAAAACUUUUAUGAUUAUCGAUAUACUUUUAUAAUUAUUUAAGGGAGAAAACAAUUUCAUCAAAAUUUCUAUUCAAAGUGAAUCCAUUGACAUUAAAAAUAGUCUUAUUAGUAACUAGAAUGUGGGUAGCUGAAAAGUUUCUCUCUUCUUCUUUUUAUUAAGUGACUUUCUCUCUUAUUUCUUAACAUAUAGUGAUUAAAAUACAAGGAAAAUAAAGUUUCAAAACCAAGAUGCAAACUCUUGAAACUACAUGAACUAAAUAAAUGGAAAAACAAAUUCAGGAAUACUCGAUUAACAAUUGCAACAAUUUGAGUCUUAGGUUAUAAUAGUUAAACAAUUUUGUUUCAUCUGAUAAAAAUAAACCUUUGAAAAUUAAUAGAAAAUAUAAAACAUGGAGUUACAACCUAGUUUUUUUAAAAACUAAGAAUCUUAAAAUAUAGAUUGGUUCCAAAGAUCGUAGAAAGAGAUUGAUUAUACUUAAGGGAAUAUAAAAAUCACAUUUACCAUAUUCCUUUCUGAGAAGAUGUUACUUUAAUUAUGUGUUUCUCCUAUAUUAAUUUUACAUGUUAUUUACUGUCUAAAUUAUAUUCCCAGCUUAUUCACAAAUCGUUUAGUUUUUAUAGAUGCUCAUAAAGUUAAUAUGAGACCAGAAAUCACGAGUCUCGCAACUUGAUGAUUUUAUUUUUAGUUUUUUAUAUAUAUAUUUCUUGACUUUUUUAUCAUCACUAUUUAUUAUUUAUUUUAUUACAAAACAAAGUUGAAAACAAUACUAUGCUUGAUCCGCGUUGGACCCUACUCAAAGGAUACUUGUGGACUUACUAUUGACCUUGUUAUUAGUUUAAAACAUCAUGAUAGGCCCACGUCGACCCUAAAACUUGAAGACACGUCAACUUAACCAUUAAAAUCCAAAUUUAAGCUUAAUAAAAACUUGAUGUUAACUUGACCAAAACUCAUCAACCCAUUAUUAAACUCAUUUUAAGGUUAAAAUAUCAUGUUAGGUCUAUAUCGGUCUCUAAAAACUAAAACACAUCAUCGAUCUAGCUGUUAGGAGUCAAAUUUAAUAAAAAACAUUACUAUACCCAUCAACAUUAUUUUUAUUUUUUGACAAAUAUUUAUAUGCUCAUAUAUAUGUAAAAAUAAAAAAAGAUGCAAUUUUAUAAAAUUAAAUAACAUCAACAUGAAAAAAAUAAAAAAGACAAGAAAGCUAAUCCACUUUAUCCUCUCUUUCUGAAAGUUCCCUCUGGGGGUCUGACCCUCCGCUACCUAAUAUUCCUAACUAAUUGAAUUCAUCAGUCUAUAAGGCUUUUAGUCACUAUGGUCUCUUUCAUCUCGUCCCUUGACCACUUCACCUUCUUUCUUAUUUCUUCUUAUGUUGGUAAAGAUCCAAGCAAUAAGAAUUGUUAUCUUUAAAAGAGAAUAAAUCCAUCUGUCUCCUCAUUAGUCUCAGCAUCAACAGUAGUGCUACUCAUCUCCUCCAACAUAGGAAGGCGAUAAUCCGGGUAGGGCGGCUUUUCGAGAAGCAGAAAGCGGUAAUUUGAUUUCAUACUUUGUUUGGCCUCAUUAAAAAAGUAAAGGGCAGGAGAGGCUGGCCUUCUUUGAUCGGAAAAUGCUGCCAAAAUGGUCAGAAAAAUAAAAUAAACAUGUGUAUUAUUUGCAUUUAUGAAUAGUAAAUAAAAAGGAAGAAAUGAGAGAGAAGAAGUUGCUUUGCAUUAAGGACUUGACUUACCUUGAGGCUAGUUCAAAAUGAGGAAGGAGUUUCUUUGGUGACAAUAAUGGUGUGUAUCAGCAAUGGUGUGGUUCUCGUUCUCGAGUGGUCUUCUCUCUCUACUUCAGGUUUUUAUUUCUCUUAAGAUUUAGCUUUUUUUCUUUGGUUUUUUCUUCUUCUCAUUCUUUUCCCCUUGCUACUAGCCGUUCAGAGCAUCUUUAUAUACCUUUAUUUUCAACCCAAACUCUCUCUCUCUCUCUCCUCUCUCUCUCUAGGUUUAAGCUUUCCUUUCUCUCUAUUUUCUUCUUCUUCUUGUUCCUCUAAUACCAUUUGGAUUAGAUUAAAUUCUUUUUUAUUAGCUCAAACUCUCAUUUAAUCAAUGAACUAAAUUUGUCGGUAAUUCUAUCUAUAAAAAUGACAUGUCAUAUUACUUGUUAGGUUUUUUUUUUUCAUUGUAAUUCUCUUAAUAUAUACCAAGGUAAUAUUUCUGUCGAUGUUUACCGAUGGAUACAACAAGAGCAUAUUCAAUUGUAAAAAUUUGCCGCUAUAUACCCACACAAAUAUUUCAUCAGUGUGUCCAUAUGCAUUGAUAAUUUUUAAUAGUGUAUUCAAAGAAUUAUAUAACUUGUUUUGAUGAUGAUGAUGAUAAUGAAAAACUACACCUUUCCAUGAUUCAAAAUAAACCCUCUAUUUUUUUUUUUAAAUUUAGUUGUCUAUAUAGAAGUUGAUUACAUCUAAAACAUAUAAAUAAGUCCAAGUCUUGUAAAUUAAAAGGGAACUGGGCCGCACUACCAUAAUCGUUGAUGAAAGAUACAAAAUUAUUAAAUAUUAUGAAUCUUCUUAUCAAGCUAGAAACAACCAUUGGACUUGAAUUUAAAAUUAGAUCUAAAUACAAAGUCUAGAUCUAUAAACACACACAAAAAAAACAUAAUUUAAAACCAUGAAUAAAUAAAUAAAAAUGAUGUUAUUGCUAGUUAUUUACUAAAUGAUAGCUUUAGAAAAAACCAGGUUUAAGAUUUUUUUUUUAAGAGUCAGAAACAAAGGCGAGAGGCAUAAAAUUUUAAAAGUAUUUUUAAAAUAAAAUAAAAUAUUUUGUUAUUGUUGAAAGUUUUUUUUAUAUAUAGUAUAGAAUCGUAUAAAAGAGUUGACAUUAUUUAAAAAUAUCAAAACAUUAGCCCAAAAACAAUUAUAGUUGUUGGGUAUAUAUACAUUGUGCUUAUAAAUUUUUUUGUUUUUUGAGGUUUAGAGUUGUUUUUCCAUUGUUUAUAGUCAUAACAAGUGUUAUAUAACAUUUGAUUAUAACUUAUAACUUCAAAAUACAAUAAAAAAAUCAAUACAAGAACUUUAAUAUUUUGAUUAAAUAUUUAUCUUGUUGUUCUAAGAUUAAGGCAACAAUAACACCUAGGAGAUGAAUUAUGUGUUCCAAAGAUUUAAAUUUUAAAUUUUAAAAUAAAAAAGCUUUAAAAUUUAAGUUCUGAAAUUAAAAAGAUUUGAAAUUUGAGUAUCAAAAUAAAAUAAAAAUUUCAAAAUUGAAAUAAAAAUAAUAAUAAAUGGGAAUUUAAUGCUUAGGGUUUCAAGAUUCAAGGAGCAACAUUAUAAAUAGGUGUGAAAAAAAGAAGCUAUCUUUUGUUGUUGAUAAAAUAUUUUAUAUGAAGUUAUAUUUAAGGUAAAACCUAUGUGUAAAUGAUAACUACCUUAUGAUGAAAUGGAGUUAAGUAGAUUCAAUAAUUACUAGAAUUCAAAGAGAACAUUAGUAGUAUUUUAAAAUUCAAAAAAGAUAAAUUAUAAAUAAUAAGUAAAUUUUUAACUUUCCAUGAUAAAUAGUAAGUAAAUUCAAACCUAGGUCAUGAGACCAAAUAACCCAAUAGAAAAGAAAACUAAAACAAAUUAUUAAAUUUAAUUAUCAAUCAACCAAAUAUUGAAAAAUAAAAUUGACUGGUUAACCUAAGUUGACUCGAUUCAUUUUAUUUAUUUAUUUUAAUUGGUUUGUUUUUUUAAUUUCAUCCUUCAACAUUGAAUUUAUUAAGAAUUGAGUUUUAUAAUUUAUUUUGAAUUUGUUUUUUUAUGAGAUUAUUAUGGUCUCUUGACUCGACAUGCGGAUUAAUAGGUUAACUCGAGUUGAUUCGAAUCGAUCCUAAAUGUUAUAAUCUCAAUAUUAAAAAACAAAAUCUCAUAUUGAAUAUUUGUUUUUAGUCAAACUAUAUUUUUACCAGUCAUUUAGUUUGCCUUUAAAUCCAUCAAGUUAAUUGGGUCACACAUCAUGUCAAUCCUCAUACGUUUAAUUAUUUUUUUCAACUAAAAAUACAUUAAAAUUUUUAAAGUUACAAUUUUUUUUUAUCCAACCCCAAAAUAUCUAUUAUUUUCUAAAGGAUUGAAGAAAAGGCAUGAAGCAAACAAAUUACAAAUGAUUUAGAGGAUUUGAAAUUAUAUUUCGAUACUACUAAUUAUUGCUAUAAUAUCAUGUGACAAGCUCAAAUAAAUUUAAUGUUUUACAAAAAAAAAAAAAAAAACUAUACAAUAGAUGAAAAAAAAAGUGUAGUCAUCUCCUAUAUUAGUAAAUGUAUCAAAGUUGUGUUGUGAGUAAAAUCUUAGAUUAAUCUCGAACGAAAAAAAAACCAAUAUUAUAACUUUAUUUUUUGAUAUUAUAAAUUUUUUUAACAGAGAAAUGAAAAGCUGAUGUCUGAUUUUAAUAUAAUAAAUUAAAAUAUAUUAAUUGAUAAAUAAAUAAAAAUUAAAAAUGCUAAUUAAAAACUAAAACUAGUUCUUUUCAAUAAAAAAUAGAAGAUACGUACAAAUGAAAAUAUUUUACCUCGUAAUCAUUUCAAUUUUCAUUUGUACCAUUCUCAGCUAGCUAAUGGUAUCUCAAACGGAGGACUCAAAUUGGAAUUGGAAUAGAUAGUAGAGGGACAGACAAUGCAUGAAAGUAACAGCUGGGGGACUCAAUUAAUCAAAAUGAAAUAGUACAAGGACCACAUAUGAUUUGUAUUAGAACAGUAGCAACUCGUCCGUGGGCUGAAUGACCACUAUCUGAAUUCUUCUAUUUCUGCGUCCAGGUUCAAAAUAAUUAUAAUAAAGAUGAAUUCUACCUUCAAAUUGGUUCCCUCCUCUGUAAUACGUACCUUCAAACGUCAUCACUUUUUUUUUCAAAGUCAAAAAGAAGCAUUUAAAACUAAAAUAGCCCCCUACGCUUACCUGGUUCUCUCAUACCUACUCCAACAAUUUCUUGGUGAACAAACACAAUAACAAGUAAUCAACUGCAGAAAGAAUGGUUGCUGGGACUCCCACGAUGCCUCUUCUCACCCCAUACAAGAUGGGCAGGUUUAAUCUUUCUCACAGGUACUUGAUUACUCACGUUAUCUCCCUUUUCUUUAAUGUACAGUAUGAUUUCGUGUAUAUCCAUUUCCUUGAGUUUGCAUGGUUUGAUGUAGAUGACACGCUGUGAUCUCAGUUUGCUUUUCUGUUUUCAGCAGCAAAAUGCUGCUUUUGUAUUCAGAAUUCUUCUGUGAAGUCUUGUUGAUCAUUAAAAAUCGAUAUGUAUGACACGAAGAAAUUAGUAUAUGACCUUUCCUUUUUCUUUCUUCUUGAUUUUUCUGUUUCAUUUGAUAUGUUGGGUAAUGAAUUUGUUACAAGAUCAUCCAAAACUUUUUGGCUAUUGGGUCAAGCUUUAGGUAAUUUACCCUUUUCAUCACCAACUCAUGGCCGGGAAAUAUAAGCAUGUAAAUUCCCAGGUUAAAUAAAUAGUUAAUGCAGUGGAUAUACUGCUUUCUUUGAAAAUCAUUUUAAUUAUAACUACUUCGGUGAUUUCAUGUUUUUUUCAGAAUUGUCCUGGCACCAUUGACUAGACAGAGAUCUUACGAUAAUGUUCCUCAGCCGCAUGCCGUUCUAUACUACUCCCAGAGAGCAACAAAGGGGGUCUUCUGAUAUCUGAAGCCACUGGAGUUUCUGACACAGCACAAGGGUAAUUCAUCAGCCAUGCCUGAUGCCAUACUCAAUCAAAUUCAAUAUUAAUUUGAUCUUGUUACACUGACACUUCAGUGUGUUCAUAAUCUUACAUAUGAAUAUAUAUAGGUACCUACAUGCUCCAGGUAUUUGGACCAGAGAGCAAGUCGAAGCAUGGAAACCCAUUGUGGAUGCUGUCCAUGCCAAAGGAGGUAUUUCUUCUGUCAAAUUUGGCAUGUUGGGAGGGUGUCAAAUAGCGGUGAGUUAUUGCCUUAAUCUCUUUGAUGCAUAAAUUUUAAUUCUGGUAUGUUAAAGUUCUGUUUCCAGUAUCUGUAACAAUGAUUAAUGCUGCUUUGUUCAUGGGCUAUACUUGUUAGUUAACAUGAUUAGCAAAGUCAUUUUCAAAAAAUGAAAAGAUUAAUAUGGUUACUAAUUAAUUUUUCUAUAUUAUUGGCAUUUGCAGGUUUUCCAGCCAGAUGGGCAAGCUCCAGUCUCUUCUACAGACAAGCCAAUAUCUUCUCAACGAAGGCAUGGAGUUCACACCUCCGAGGCGUCUAAGGACAGAUGAAAUCCCUCAAAUAGUCAAUGAUUUCAGAAUUGCUGCGAGGAACGCAAUAGAAGCUGGUAAACUUUCUUUCUCAGAUAUUUUGGAAACUCUGAAUUUUAUUACAGGAUUUUAACAAGCUGAACAAUACACGAUUGCACAGCAUUUUAACAAGCUUGUUCUGCGCUUUUUAUAGGUUUUGAUGGAGUUGAGAUCCAUGGGGCUCACGGAUAUCUAAUUGACCAGUUUAUGAAAGAUCAAGCAAACAACAGAACAGACCAAUAUGGUGGAUCACUGGAGAACCGCUGCCGAUUCCCUUUGGAGAUAGUUGAGGCUAUAGCGAAUGAGAUAGGAUCAGAUAAAGUUGGAAUAAGACUGUCUCCUCAUGUAAACUAUAUGGAAUCAGAGACUCAGAUCCUGAAGCACUAGGGCUCCACAUGGUUAAAUCCUUGAAUAAAUACGGUAUUGCUUACUGCCACAUGGUUGAGCCAAGAAUGAAGAUAGGCGCAGCGAAUACAAAAUUCUCUGAAAGUCUGCUGCCUAUGAGGAAGGCUUUCAACAAUACAUUCAUUGUUGCUAGUGGUUAUGACAGGGAAGAUGGAAACAAAGCUCUUGAAGAGAACCGUGGAGACCUUGUCGCUUAUGGUCGCUUGUUCUUGGCAAAUCCAGAUUUGCCGAGGAGAUUUGAACUUGAUGCUCCUCUCAACAAGUACAACAGAGAAACAUUUUACACACAUGAUCCUGUUGUUGGUUACACUGAUUAUCCUUUCCUUGAAGCCUCUGCGUAGGGUUUUCAGUCACCGUAGUCGAAACUUGUAUUCUCUAAUUCAUUCAAUUAUUGUUUCUAUGAGUUUAAAUGUUAUAAUUCAAUAAUAAAAGUAGAUUGGAGACCAGCAAUAC
rnacentral:lncRNA from 1 species